GACGAACGCUGGCGGCGUGCUUAACACAUGCAAGUCGAACGGAGUGGCGAACGGGUGAGUAACACGUGGGUGACCUUCCCUGCACUUCGGGAUAAGCCUGGGAAACUGGGUCUAAUACCGGAGAGUGUGGGAUGGGCUCGGGGCCUAUGAGCUUGUUGGUGGGGUAAUGGCCUACCACGGCGGCGACGGGUAGCCGGCCUGGGAGGGUGGACGGCCCCAGUGGGACUGGGACACGGCCCAGACUCCUACGGGAGGCAGGAGUGCGGAAUAUUGCACAAUGGGCGGAAGGCUGAUGCAGCGACGCCGGGUGGGGGAGGACUGCCGUCGGGUUGGAAACUCCUUUCACCAUCGACGGGGUAGAUGAGGAAAAAGCACCGGCUAACUACGGGCCAGCAGCCGCGGUAAUC
rnacentral:rRNA from 1 species